GUGAAGAGGAAGAGCUCAAAGUUGGAACCUGUUUGGCUUAGCUAAACCGGAUUGUAAACUGUAGAAGUGUUUUCCAGACACGCCUGGUAAAAAAGUCCUUUGGAACAGGGCAUCAUAGAGGGUGAGAAUCCCGUCUUUGGCCAGAGCUGUUGUCUUUUGUGAUACAUUUUCAAAGAGUCAGGUUGUUUGGGAAUGCAGCCUAAAUUGGGUGGUAAAUCUCACCUAAAGCUAAAUAUUUGCGAGAGACCGAUAGCGAACAAGUACCGUGAGGGAAAGAUGAAAAGAACUUUGAAAAGAGAGUUAAACAGUAUGUGAAAUUGUUAAAAGGGAACCGUUUGGAGCCAGACUGGCUUGACUGUAAUCAAUCUAGGCUUCGGCCUGGAUGCACUUGCGGUUUAUGCCUGCCAACGACAAUUUUUUUUGAGGGAAAAAACUAUUAGGAAUGUGGCCCCUCUCGGGGGGUGUUAUAGCCUUUUAGAAAAUACCUUGAAUUGGAUUGAGGAACGCAGUGAAUGCCUUUAGGCAAGAUUGCUGGGCGCUUUCGCUAAUAAAUGCUAGAAUUUCUGCUUCGGGUGGUGCUAGUGUUUAAAGGAGAAACUCGUCUGGUAUA
rnacentral:rRNA from 1 species